UUGGGGGCUGAAGUAGAAUCCAAAUGCUAGUUCUGAGUGAGAGACAGAAGAAGACACCCAAGCUGCUAUUCUAAACCAGGAUACAACCUGCUCAAGCAGCUAUGACCAGCAGGUUAUCGUAAUUCAAUAAAUCCUCUAGAUUGUAGCAAUAGCUAAAUGAUAAUAUUUUUUUUUCAAUAGCCUCUGAGGAUAAAAAUUAUGUUUCCUUUUUCAGUAUUUACUGCAAGAAUGGACAGGCACAGGGUGAAAAUCUAAAGAAUGAGACUAUCCUCCAUACAGUUUUACUGAGAACUGAAAACUCUAGAUUAUCUGCAUAACUAGCCGAGGAACAGAAGAACAAAGGAAAAAAGCUAGAUAAUGAAAAGAGCCUGCACCUGAUUUUAGUAAGAAUUACUUGGAUGGGGAGCACAGUUAAUGCACUUUCCAUGUGAUAUUUUAAUUAUUCAAAUAUUAAGCUAGGUUUGCAUUUCCAGCUGAAAAAAAGCAGCAGCAGCCCAAGCAGAGCAACUGAAUAUCAGAAGGUAACUGAACUGGAAUAAGAAUUUUUAAGUAGUUCCGUAAUUCCCAAAUUUUUAAAGUUCAUACACAGAGGUGACGAGUGGAAAUGAAAUACGUUUACUGAACAAACCCCAUGAUAAAAAGUGCUCAGGUUCUAUUCUGCUACACUAGAAUUGUUUUCUAUGAAAUGUUGGGAGAAGUCGGUCAAAAUAC
rnacentral:lncRNA from 1 species